rnacentral:sRNA from 1 species
UUUUAGCCCCGAUAAAAGUGGAAAUCCUUUUUUUAGGUUUUUACCGAAAAAAGAUUGCAACGUAUAGCGGGAAUAGCU